AUUGAACGCUGGCGGCAGGCUUAACACAUGCAAGUCGAGCGGGGAAAAGUAGCUUGCUACUGGACCUAGCGGCGGACGGGUGAGUAAUGCUUAGGAAUCUGCCUAUUAGUGGGGGACGACAUCUCGAAAGGGAUGCUAAUACCGCAUACGUCCUACGGGAGAAAGCAGGGGACCUUCGGGCCUCGCGCUAAUAGAUGAGCCUAAGUCGGAUUAGCUAGUUGGGGGGGUAAAGGCCUACCAAGGCGACGAUCUGUAGCGGGUCUGAGAGGAUGAUCCGCCACACUGGGACUGAGACACGGCCCAGACUCCUACGGGAGGCAGCAGUGGGGAAUAUUGGACAAUGGGGGGAACCCUGAUCCAGCCAUGCCGCGUGUGUGAAGAAGGCCUUUUGGUUGUAAAGCACUUUAAGCGAGGAGGAGGCUACCGAGAUUAAUACUCUUGGAUAGUGGACGUUACUCGCAGAAUAAGCACCGGCUAACUCUGUGCCAGCCGCCGCAGUAACAC
rnacentral:rRNA from 1 species